CAAAAACUAAAUCAGGUGUCUUUUAUAUAGUUUUGUACAUCAGACUUGAAGACUAGAAGCACAGCAUAUGAUAUCUAGCUUAUUGAGUAGUGUGAUUAUCCAGAGGAUAAGAAGCAGUGUAUUUAAUAAGCCCUAAUACAUAAGAGGUACUUUCUUAUGACCUUCUAUAAUUGCGAUUCCUCCAUAUUUUUUGGCAGCGUGCUUGAAGUCGAUAGCAGCUGGCUUGCGUGGGAAAACCAAAUUUUUACCCUUUGAUGGUUUUUGCAUAUAAUAUUCAUUCUGUUGGCAUUCUUGGCGAGUAGUCGGAUCCCUGGUUUGGGGAAAGAACUUCUCUAUGAUUAUAAAUCCUUCUUGGCCAAUCUUCAAAAGAUUUUCCUGACGUGCCAUGUCAAAUUUAAACUGAUCACAGAGAAUAGAAAUUUGGUACUGGUUUUUAU
rnacentral:lncRNA from 1 species